GUGUUUGCUUCAGCAGCACAUGUGCUAAAACUGGCAUGACACAGAGAAGAUUAACAUGGCCUCUGCACAAAGAUGACAUGCAAAUUCGUGAAGUGAAUAAACUGUCA
ensembl:snRNA U6 U6 spliceosomal RNA